rnacentral:lncRNA from 1 species
GGAUAGUCAGAUACAAGAUGGUUGGACUGAUCCAAUUGGGUAGCAAAGAUCUUUCAGGACUCGAGGUUCAUGUUCGAGUUCACCCAUGGUGGACUUGGAGAUUACUUAGCUUAGGGUAGGAUUUGGAUCUAUUCUCACUAGUCGACCAAAUUUUUUUUUCCAAGUUACAAUUUUACAAAUUUUUUUUUAUUUUUUUAUCUUUUUAUG